UGCCCACGUGCGGCUUUUUUUUUUUCCGGAUUAGGAUUUUUAAUCAUUCUGUAAAUUUACAACAUUUGAACAAAAUAAGAGCAACGUAUUUUUAUGUUCUGAGCGCUCGGUCCAAAUGCAACCCUUACAGAAUACAGUAGUUUCCUUCUGUGUAAAAAGCACGUUUUUAUUUUGAGGUCAAUGCUUGAUCUUUAAUGUUUCGUUUAUCUCUUUAAAGGUAAAGGUUCCCCUUGCACAUAUAUGUCGUUCCUGACUAGGGGGCGAUGCUCAUCUCCGUGUCAAAACCGAAGAGCCAGCGCUGUCAGAAGACGUCUCCGUGGUCAUGUGGCUGGCAUGACUAAACCCCAAAGGCGCAUGGAACGCUGUUACCUUCCCACCAAAGAUGGUACUCUAAUGGUAAUAUGGAUACCCCCAUAAAUGUGAUGUACAGGAACUAUUGUGAAUAUUUGCGUAUGAAAAAUAAGAAUAUAUGUAUAAAUGACUGUUUUUAUCAAAGAUAUUCUAUCAAAUCUUCAAUCACCUCCUUCUAAGAAACCGAAAUCUGGGAUAAUUCUCUAUGUACAGCUUCAGUUUGCCCCUGUAGCUGAUUAAUUGUCAGGAUUCCAAGUAACACCCCCAGCAAAAGAAGAGUCCGAGGCGAGUUUCCUCAAAGUUCCUUUUUAUUGAAGAUGUCAUAUUGGCACAUCAGGGAAAACCCAAAUCUGAAAGUUUCCAGAUUUUCCCCAUCCAAGUGAAAGUUCAAGUCCUUGCCCAGUACCCACAUGUCCCUCACAUGUUCCAAUCAUCCACCGUCCAAACUGGAGAUACCUCCCAGUCAUCCAACUCCAGGUGCCAGGGCAAGGUGUCCUUCACUCUCUGAGAAAGGAAUGUUAUUUUGACUACAUAUCACCCAUACUCUAUGCAAUCCCCCCUCCCAUUUUCCUACAGAAGAAAAUGUGACAGGCCUCAAGGCCCAAAUGUAAAAGAAGGCUUCCAGAUCUGACAAUUGUUUUUGUUCUUUUUUUUAAUGGCACCAACCUAACUAAUCUUGGCAGUCAAAGAAGUUCAGGGCUGGCUAAAACUUGAUGGGGAACAAUCUGGCAAUUCCAAACCUACUGGCUAGACUGCAAGAUUGAAAAUAAAUCCAUCCUGGAACAUGACAGUGGUAUAUCUUUUCCAUAAUGCUACCAAAACAAGUGUAUACGUAGAGGAUAGUCGGGUCAAUCUUGAUUUCCUGUUGUUGCUUUUUAAUUAUUGGCUUAAAGCAAUUCUAAGCACAUCUACUCUGAAAUACACAAAAAUUAAAUGCUUACAUAUAUUGUCAAGAAAAACAGCUGGUUAGACUGUUCCAAUAAAAACAAUGGGGAAUUACUUUGAGACUUUAAAGACUAGUAUUUAUAUUUUAAAUUUUUAGGGAGGGGUUUCCCUAAGGAUCUCAGGAGAAUUAGCUAGCACUGCAGCAUCUUUUGAUCAAAAUCUUGAAUCCCACUUAAGAUAAAAUUCAGCAAUUUUAAUUUUUCUCCAUUUUAUUCCACUUAUUUUCUUCCAAACUCCAAGAAGAAUCCAGCAAAAAAGCUUGAAAAUAUUCAGCUCUGAAUUGUGUAGACAAUGGUUUUCUCUAUGAUAGCCUAUGGAAACAAGCAUUGUACUUUCAAGAAGCAAGGUAGAAAAGUAUUGACAUUUUUGAACUUUGGUGUUGGAGAAGACUGCAACAUGGCAAAUGCUACAAAGCCAAGAAAACAUUUGCCAGACCUAUUCUUGAAUACAGCUCAUCAGUCUGGAACCCACACCACAUCUCUGACAUAAAUACAAUAGAACACGUCCAGAAAUAUUUUACUAGAAGAGUUCUUAACUCCUCCGAAAACAACAAAAUACCUUAUACCACCAGACUUGAAAUCCUGGGAUUAGAAAACUUACAACUCCGUCGACUUCGACAUGACCUGUGUUUAACACACAAAAUCAUCUAUUGCAAUAUCCUUCUUGUAAAUGACUACUUCAGCUUCAAUCGCAAUAUUACAAGAGCAAAAAAUAGAUUCAAGCUUAAUGUCAACUGCUUCAAACUUGAUUGCAGAAAAUAUGACUUCUGCAACAGAGUUGUUAAUGCUUGGAACUCAUUACCUGACUCCAUAGUCUCUACUCAAAAUCCCAAAAUCUUCAACCAAAAACUGUCUACUAUUGACCUCACCCCAUUCCUAAGAGGACUAUAAGGGGCGUGCAUAAGAGCACAAAAGUGCCUACCGUUCCUGUCCUAUUGUUCCCUUUAUUAUAUCAAAUUAAUAUAGCUAAUGCAUAUUCUUUACUUAUAUAUAUAUAUAUAUAUAUAUUUUCUUCAUGAUAUGUUUUUUACUUUUGACAAUGUUUAUGUAUACUGUUAUGAAAAAAUAAAAUAAUAAUAAUAAAAAUCAUCAAACAAAUUAACCCAGAGUUCUAACUCAAGGCAUAAAUGACUUGGCCCAAAUUAUAUACUACUUCAGACACAUUAUGUGAAGGCUUAGCUUCCUUGAGAAGACUGUAAUUCUGAAAAAGGUAAAACAAAAAAGGAAAAGAAGAAAAAGGGGCAUGCAUAAGCGCACCAGCGUGCCUACCGUGCCUGUCCUAAUGUUUUCUUUUAUUCGUAUCCUUUACAUGUAUUUCUAAUUAUGUUUACACUUGUAUCUGUCAUAAAAUAAUGCUUGACUAACUAAGUAACUAACUAAUCCACCCAGUAGCAUGAUGGGUAGACUUAAUUAUUGCAGUAAUGGAUAUAUCAUUGGAAUAUCUUGUCCAGAUUGUCCUGGAGAAGAUCUUUCUGUGUGAUCACAGAAAGCUAGCACCAAUAUAAUGGCACACAAUCAAGGCCACUAUAAAAAUUACUAGAUUGGAACAAAGUAAUAUCAAUAUCUCUUACAUUUCUCACUUAGUGACCAUAUAGGUUUUUGCAGAGGAUAAGAUCGUGCAUGUCUAUGAGUUUCAAAAGUGGGCAUUCAGUUUGACAAUUAAAAAUACUCUGUACUCUUGGCUCCAUCUCUAGGCAAGAAUAUUUAAUACUACAUAUAUUAACUGCUGCUAGGAUGGCCUUUGCUCAAUGUUGGAAACAGCCAUGUGUGCCCACAGAGAGACUUAUUGUACAAAAGAUUAUGAAUUGCGCAGAAAUGGACAAACUAACUUUGAGUCUGAAGGAUAAGGAGACAUCAGUAUUUUAUGGUAUAUGGGAACGGUGGUAUGGAUGGAUGGAAAGGAGAUAGGAAUAUUUAGUUACUAAACAUAAUCAAUAGAUAAAAUAAGAACACAAAUACGUAUAAUUUAAUGUUUGUCAUUAUUGCAUGGAUUAUUAUUAGAUGAAAAACACCACAAAUAAGCUGUUAAAUGAUAUAAGCCUUUUUUUCCCUUUUUUAUGUUUUUAAUGUAAAAAAGUUUAAUAAAGUUUAAUAAAAAAAAUACUCUGUACUCUUGGCUCCAUCUCUAGGCAAGAAAAGAUCAAAUGUGAAAAAUUUAAAGUGUGAAUCUGGAUACCCAAUUAGCAGGUAUCCAAUACUGACUCAAGAGCCAUCUCCCCUCCACCUGUUAAAAGUCAGCAAAUAGGAAAAAAAUUCCUGUAAAACUCUUUUACACUGAUGUAUUAAUGCCAAAGCAAAAUCUGUUUGAAAAAAAUGUUUAUGAAAAGAAAAAAAUAUGAAUAUUUAUUAUUGUAGUUGUUAUUACUAUUUACUUAGUUAUUACUAAGUUAGUACUUCAUCUACUGAGUAAAAUCCUAUUUUAUAACGAUGGUGUCAUUCUAUAUGUUUCAUUUAUAUCACUUUAAAAUUAACAUUUCAGGACAUUGCCUAGAAACUGAUUAAAGAAAUGGGUUAGUCUCUGUGCUGGCAUCUAGAGACUGUGCUUUUGCAGCUAAAGCAUUCAGAAGAUCCUCCCCCAAAUUGUUAGCCUAUCCACUGAUAACAAGUUACAACUUAUCCAACAGAGACCAAAAUAUCCAUCCAUAAUUUUCUUACAUCAUAGUUAUAUAUUUGGAGAAAGCAAAGGAACAAUGUGCAUGUAGACAUCUUUGCAUUCAACCUCUAGGCCAUGGCACAUACAUUCUGAUGGCACAAAAUCUAGCACUGGAUAAAGAAAGCAGUUGAAAAGAAGAAAAAGAAGUUGCAUGUAUGUGUAUAUAGACUCCUAUACAUAUAUCUGUGUCUGUGUUCACUAUACAAUCAUAUAUUGCUUUCGUGUGUAUAACUGUGAGAUUCUCCUCAGAAGACCUUUUCUGUGUUCCUGUCAUGGAAUUAGUGACAAUUAGGAAGUGGUGCGCUACCACUUUGUCAAAAACUCCUAGAGAUACUUAUUUUCAGAUACUGGACAAAACAUUCUCCACUUUUGUGUAUCUUUCCAAUUACUGCUGCUUCGCAGGAUGAUAUGAAAUAUAUUAAAAUAUUAAUUUGGCAUGAACAGAUCAACAUCUGUAUGUAGGUAGAUAUGUAACUAGGCAUAAAAUUAUCUUUAAUACAGCAAAGCAUUAGUGUUAGCAAAUUAGUCCUUCCAUUACAUUCUUUGCUAAAGCAAAUUUAGGAUACAAUGCAUCAUGCUGAUGUACAGAGGAGAUACACAACCAAUUUUAUGAAGCUGCUACUUCAGACUUUAUGAUAUAGGCUUAAAUUUCCUGAUAUAGCGAGAGAUAAAAUAAACCCAAUUACUUUGGCUUUAAAUUUCAACCACUAUAAUUCGCAGAAAUGUCCAAGAACAUAUACUAAAAGAUCUAUCGUACAGAUAAAUACUUCUGAAGGGAAAUUGUUGAAUUAAGAGCAAAAUAUUGCAGUCAUAAAUCACUACAGCCCUAUAACAACUAAGAUAUGAUCAUAACUUGAUUAGAAGCUGUUCUCCCAGUACUACCAAAUAUGAAUAACAGUAGUUUUGGACUAGUAAUUCUGAUGCUGGAAUUUUUGUUUAUUUCUAAAACAUUUUCCAACUUAGCAGAAAAUUGAUCCUGAGUCCAGACAAAAUAGAAUCUAGAGAUUUUUAUAAAUGGCCUACAAACUAUAGAGUGCAUCAGUAUUUCAAUUAUUCUUUGUGAUUUUCAGUAUAUUUAGUUAACUUUUUAAUUUAAUUAAAUACCAAAUCUAUGCCAUUUUUAAAAACUACCCUUUCUCUGCAAGCAGCUUUUGUUGGACUGCUAGAUGGAAAUUUGAAAGUUUAUAUGACCAUUUUUAACUAAUUGUUUGAAUUUGGCAAAUUACUACUGCAUUUACUGCACAAAUGCCGACAAAUAGUCUAAUCACAAUUUUAAUUUAUUUACUUUAAAUGAGCCAGAAUAAUGUGCAGUCUCACUUUGAUUCUUAUAAACUAUAAGUCUAUGUAGAGGACUGCAGUACAUGAGUUCUGGAGACAAAAAGAGGCAGAAGAAUCAAUGUGGCACUUUCUGGAAUUCCUUAAAGACCUUCACUUUUUCCUGUGAUUAUAUGGCUACUCUUGACAGAUUGCACAACUGGAAAAGUUAUAUUUACUUUGAGAAACUGAACAAAGCUACUAAAUAUACUCUUUCACAGGGAUCACCAACCUUUCGGACCUCAGGGGCCGCUAAAUUCGUAAUUGUAAAUCCCGCAGACCACUAAUAUGAAUUUUUCAAAAGAUAAAUAGUAUUUAGUUCAAUAUAAAAAAUGCAAAUAAUUUUUCUGUGGACCACCAAAAUUUUCUCAUGGAUCACCAGUUGGUGACUGCUGCUCUAUCACGUUGUGGAGAAUUACAGGGGUCUACUCUUCCCUAAAGCCAUUAUUUAGUGAUAGGAAAUGAACAGGCAUAACAAUCACUGAUACGCAACACUGCACUGCUUUCCACCUGGUUUGGGAAUAAAUGCUCAAAAGUGAACCCACACAAAUCUCACAAAGUUUUGGUGAAUUUGAAUAUAGUUUUUAAAUUCCUCUUUAAUGAUAUAAAAUGUGAAAGGUUCUAGUACAAGAAUCAAGUUAUAUCAUGCUGAAUUUUCAUGUGUUCAUUUUAAAUAGUUACAUUAUCCAAGACCUGAUUCUUUAACUGUUAUUAGCUGGCAAGUAUUUAACUCAUUGGUGAAAAAAACAAAACAAAAGAUUAUCAAUAGCAUGAAAUUAUAAAUUAUGAUGUAUAUAAAAAAGAGGUGGCCCUUUGAUUUCUGUCUCUUCCAAAAAUAUCCCUCAUUACCAUGAAUUUGCAUUAAACAUUAAAGAAAUUUAAUCUGAAAAAAAAAUGAAUGUUCAACUUUCUUCAGGUUUGAGAGGUACAAACAUAUAGUUCAAAUCUGAUACUUAAGUAGUAGGCAAAGUGUUGAUACAAAAUAGUAUCAACCCAGCCAGCAUGACCCAUGGCAAGGGAUUAUCAGAGGAUUGCGAUCUGUCCAAAAUAGAAACAUUAAUACAGUAUAUACUAUCUUUGUUUUGAAAAAAAGCUAAUUAAAUAAGCAAUUAUAAUGUAUGCAUUUAUCUUUUUUUCUCAGAAGAUGAGAAUAUUUCAAACCUAGUACUGCACCAUCCCAACUAAUGAAUUUUUUUUACUUCAUAUAUUACUUAUGGGGCUAAAGUUACCGCAGUGCGAUUUUUGUAAAUAAAACAGUAUUAGAGACUGGCACUUUGCUUUACCUAUUGUCAGCUUCCCAUUCAUUUUGGGUUUUAAUUAAAAGAAUCAUAAAUAAAAUCAGAUGGUACAGAAAGCUUGGCAGGUGCCAAUGGAUUGAUCCUGGCCAUCAUGUUGCCUAUCCGUGUCUCAGGAUGUUCAGCAAAGCUGCAAAACCUCAUUAACUUUUGUUCUAGACAUAUAAUUUAAUUGUGACAUCAUGUCAAAAACAGAUCAUGCCAGACAAAUCUUACUGCAUUAGUGACAAAUAGUGGACCAGUGAAAUCCUAUGGAUAUAACUUACUUGGACUUCAGUAAGUCGUUUGAUAAAGUGGACCACAACCUAUUACUUGAUAAAAUAGAAAAAUGUUGCUUAGACAGCAUCACUACCUGAUGGAUUUGUAACUGGCUGACAAAUCACACUCAACAUGUACUCCUUAAUGGAACUAUGUUUACAUGGAGGGAAGUAUGCAGUGGGGUAUCCCAGGGCUCUGUCUUAGGCCCAGUACUCUUUAGUACCUUCGUCAAUGAUUUGAUGAAGAUAGAAGGGGAACUCAUAACAUUUGCAGACAACACUAAGCUCCCAGGAAUAGCCAACACUUCAGAAGAUAGAUCCAGAAGGAUCUUGACAGACUUGAACACUGGGCCCUAUCUAACAAAAUGAAAUUCAGUGGUGAGAAAGGUAAGGUUCUACAUUUAGGGAAGAAAGACAAAUUGCACAGGUACAUAAUACCUGGCUCAAUAGUAGUAACUGAGAGGGAGCUUGGAGUCCUAGUGAACAAUCACUUAAAUAUGAGCUAGCAGUGUGGUAUAGCUGCCAAAGAAACCAACCCACACCUAGGCUGCAUUAAAAGAGGGAUAGAAUCAAGAUCACAUGGAGUGUUAAUACCACUUUAUAAUCCCUUAGUAAGGCCAUACUUGGAUAUUGUAUCCAGUUUUGGUUGCCAUGAUAUAAAAAAGGAUGCUAAAACUAGAAAGUGCAGAGAAGCGCAACAAUUAGGAUGCUGGAGGCUAAAACAUAUAAAGAAUACUUGCAAGAAUUGGGUAUGUCUAGUUUAAUUUUUUUUAAAAGGACUAGAAGUAACAUGAUCAAUAUCUAGGGCUCCACAAGAAAGAGGGGGGUCAAACUAUUCUUCAAAGCACCUGAAGGCAGGACAAGAAGCAAUGGAUAGAAACUAAUCAAAGAGAGAACCAACCUAUAACUAAGGGGAAAUUUCCUGACAGGUAGAACAUUAAUUGUUCUAAUUUAUUACUUGCCCCCAGAAAUUAAUGCUUCAACACCAGAGGUUUUUAAGAAAUUGGAUACCAUUUGUCUGAAAUAGUAUAGGGUUUCCUGCUUGAGCAGAGGAUUGGACUAGAAGACCUGCAAGGACACUUCCAACUCUGUUGUUCUGUUAUUUGAUUAUUUCAAGUGUUUUUGCAUUUCAUUCUUAAAUAUCCAGAAAUUGCCAGUAAAAUCACUAUGAUAGGCUAUUUUUAUUCAGAUUCUAUUCCUGGACUAUGGUCUCUUUUCCUAAUCACCUACAAAUAUUCAGAUUUUAUAUGAUAAAUUAAAUUUGCCUCUAAUAAAUACAUAUUUAGAAAGCAGACAAAAACAAUUUCCAUGUCUUUUUUAUCCAAAUAAAUUCAUUAAUAUAUCUGUUCAAUUCAAUCCUUAACCAAGUCAAAGUUUUGAUUUAAACUUUGCCGUUUUUCAUCCCAAUCAGCUAGCAAAAUUCAAAAUCCCAGUGGUUUUUAUGUUGGAUUCUAUUCUUAUUAUAAAAUUGAUUAGCUUCCUAAGUUUACAGGCUUCCUCCCCAUCCCCUCCAAUAAUGCUGCAUGUGUCAGUGCAAUAUGUAUUCAGCUAUUAAUUGAGCUGGUGCUUAUGGUUAAGGUUUAUGUAUCCUUUCUUUUUCUUCUCUUUGACAAUGUAUUUAUCUUGAUCGUUAUUAUUUUUGUGUUUUUGUUUCUUUAUUCUCUUUUUUUGUUAUAGAUCCAAGAGCACAGUCACUCUCCCAUAUGAAAUUUAGAAAUGGAAGAUACAUUUUCUGAAAGCCCAUUCUUCCCAAAAUAGUCCAUAAAUGAGGCAGAUAAACUGUCCAAUAUGUUGUAUCUGGAAAUAUUUCGGUGUAGUGUAAAUAUUCCCUUCUAUUCCUUCAUUCUGUUAAUUAACUCAGACACAGUUAUGUCUAAAAAGAUGCUAAUUUCUUUAUAUAAAUCUUUAAAACAGUAUCAUUAAAACAUUUCCCUUGGAGUUGUUGAAUUGUUCCUAUAAUCUGAAAUACCCUUGUUCAGUUUGACAAACCUAUCAUGUAUCCAUAUUACUAGAAUUCAAAUUAUUUAUGGCUUUUGACCAUGUUAACUGGAAUUCUGGUCAUUGCAACCCCAACACAUCUUAAAUAUUGCAAUUUUGGGGAAGGCAGGCCUUAAAUUUCCAAAACCUUUAAGAAGAUGAUGGGUGUUUAUAAACAAUCAUACUCAUAUAGGAAGUAAUGAUCAAGAGAAGAAUACAUAAAAGAUUGUUCUUUAUUAUACAAAAAAACAAUGCAUAUGAAAUAUAUUUUAGCUUCAAACGUUUAUGAAUUUUGAAAGCAAUCCAUUAAAAUAUUAAUUCAUAAAAAUAAUUGCUGUAUCAUCAUCAGAUCUUUUAAAAAAUUACUUUAAAUUUAGAAGUACUAAAGAUGGGUGAAUCAAUAGAAUUGUAAUGAUGGCUUCCUACCAAUAAAUAAUAUCUCCUGGUGUCAAUAAACUUUUUUCUGAACUAGCUGGCU